AGAAGUUACUUCCUCUCAGGCUCAGUUUCGAUAUCUGUAACAUGAGGACGUUGGACUAGAUCAACUUCCAGGCUCUGCAAGUUUGAGGAAGACCUGAAGACUGCCCCAGCCUUCUGCAAGUGAAGUGCUCAUGAUUGCUGGAGGGAGGCCUGAACACUGGCUAAGCACACAAAGCGCAGCCCAUCAAGACUUUAAGAACAGCAGCAGAAUGUAUGGCUUUUCUUCUCUCAUCACCCAGAGAUCUUCAAAUGAGACAAUGAGUGCUUGUCAGCUUGUAUAUCUGUGUACCACAUGCUUGCCCAGCGCCUUCAGGGACAGAAGAGGGCAUCUGAUCCUCUGGAACUGGAAUUAUGUACAGUUCAGGUGCCAACUCUUCUGAUGAGAGGAAAUGUUUAUAGUGUCCACCUCCAGAAAUGCUUGUGGUGAGAAGAAUAACAUGGAUGGCAAAGGGCAUGGGAAAGAAGGGCACCUGGGCCACCUCCCAGGGCACAAUUCCAUGGGCAUAGCUUCUAAGAGUUGGAAAUAUGGAAUAGUCUUACAUAGAAAUCCUCCUAUCACAUACUACACAGUUUGCAAAAAUGUAGACUGGACCUCUCACCCAAGUACAAAAUGCCUUUGGAUGGAAGUAGUUUAAAGAAAAUAAAAAGAAAGCCUUGCCGACAACUGCCUGGUUGCCUAGUUUGGAGGGAUGUUCUAGACAAGAUUGG